CCUGAGAUCAAGACCUGAGCUGAGAUGGAGAGUGAGAUGCUUAACCAGCUGACCCACCCAGGUGUGCCGGGUCAGAGGACUCCUCCACCAUUUGUCCUUUGUGACCUGCUUACUGCGCUCUCAGUACCUCUGUGAGUAUGCUGCCUGGACCCCAAUCCCACCGUUCAGAUUCCAGCCUCGGUCAGAGGAUUUGCUUCUGUGCUGCGGGCGAGCUGGGGCUGUUGGGAGUGAACAGGACGACAUGGCAGACAGACUCUGCAGAACUGUG